AAUAGAUACCCUGGUAGUCCACGCCGUAAACGAUGGAUACUAGCUGUUGGAGGUAUCGACCCCUCCAGUAGCGAAGCUAACGCGUUAAGUAUUCCGCCUGUGGAGUACGGUCGCAAGACUAAAACAUAAAGGAAUUGACGGGGACCCGCACAAGCGGUGGAUUGUGUUCUUUAAUUCGAUGAUAAACGAAGAACCUUACCAGGGUUUGACAUCCCAAGAAUUAUGCCGAAAGGCGUGAGUGCUUUAUUGAACUUGGUGACAGGUGAUGCAUGGCCGUCGUCAGCUCGUGUCGUGAGAUGUUCGGUUAAGUUCGGCAACGAGCGCAACCCACACUUCCAGUUGCCAGCAUUCAGUUGGGCACUCUGGAAGAACUGCCGAUGAUAAGUCGGAGGAAGGUGUGGAUGACGUCAAGUCCUCAUGGCCCUUACGGGUUGGGCUACACACGUGCUACAAUGGUGGUGACAGUGGGUUAAUCCCCAAAAGCCAUCUCAGUUCGGAUUGGGGUCUGCAACUCGACCCCAUGAAGUUGGAAUCGCU
rnacentral:rRNA from 1 species